AUUGAACGCUGGCGGCAGGCCUAACACAUGCAAGUCGGGCGGUAACAGGAAUCAGCUUGCUGAUUCGCUGACGAGCGGCGGACGGGUGAGUAAUGUCUGGGAAACUGCCUGAUGGAGGGGGAUAACUACUGGAAACGGUAGCUAAUACCGCAUAACGUCUACGGACCAAAGUGGGGGACCUUCGGGCCUCAUGCCAUCAGAUGUGCCCAGAUGGGAUUAGCUUGUUGGUGGGGUAACGGCUCACCAAGGCGACGAUCCCUAGCUGGUCUGAGAGGAUGACCAGCCACACGGGAACUGAGACACGGUCCAGACUCCUACGGGAGGCAGCAGUGGGGAAUAUUGCACAAUGGGCGCAAGCCUGAUGCAGCCAUGCCGCGUGUAUGAAGAAGGCCUUCGGGUUGUAAAGUACUUUCAGCGGGGAGGAAGGUGCUGUGGUUAAUAACCACAGCAAUUGACGUUACCCGCAGAAGAAGCACCGGCUAACUCCGUGCCAGCCGCCGCAGUAACAC
rnacentral:rRNA from 1 species